rnacentral:rRNA from 1 species
UACGUAGGGUGCAAGCGUUGUCCGGAAUUAUUGGGCGUAAAGAGCUCGUAGGCGGCUCGUCACGUCGGCUGUGAAAACCCGGGGCUCAACCCCGGGCCUGCAGUCGAUACGGGCGAGCUAGAGUUCGGCAGGGGAGACUGGAAUUCCUGGUGUAGCGGUGAAAUGCGCAGAUAUCAGGAGGAAUACCGGUGGCGAAAGCGACUCUCUGGACGGCAACUGACGCUGAGGCACGAAAGCGUGGGGAGCAAACAGG